GACCUUAGAAGAGGAAGUUGGCACAGCCUGCGCCCCUCGCAUACCUCUCUCAUGGGCCCUUCUUUCUCUGGCCGCUAUGGGAGACCUGCAGCCUUGGGUUUAACCCAUGAGGCCAAGGGCACAUGCACAGCCACCGGAGUGUCUCCAUCACUCAGCGUUGAAGUGGAACUGAGUACAUACUUUUCAGAAGCGGCAUCAUUCUCUACUCAGCCAGAGCAUUGGGCCUGACAAUAGCUGGAUCCAGCAGAAAACUGGACACUCUAGGAGAUGUCAUGUGGAGAUGUGCCUGGCUGGACUAAUAGUCACGUGGAUAUGAUUUUUAAAAAAAUCUCUGAGAGCUUUCCUAAAAUCAAAUAAUAUUCUUAAGUUGCUUUAGUAGACGAGACAUUAGUUAGUGUCUUUUUAAUUUCCACAGAAGCUUUUUUUAUGUUACUAAAGAAACUAAACAUUAUGUCUUUUUUCUUGUUACCAAAAUGGACUUAGUAUUAAAAACAAGAAACCUACAAGAAAGGAAAAACUCACAUGAAAUAGAAAUUGUGGGUCGCAGCUUUUAAUUUUAUAUAAAAUCAUGUUUUAUUUAUUUACAA